ACUAACUCUAGCCCCAACACCUUCAUAUAUAACUAUAUUAUUUCAUAAAACAAAACAUUCAUAAUUUUAAAGUAUUGGAGAAAGAAAUUUACUAUAAGGAGCUAUAGAGCAAGUACCGCAAGGGAAAGAUGAAAGAUUAGUUAAAAGUAAAAUCAAGCAAAGAUUAAACCUUGUACCUUUUGCAUAAUGAAUUAACCAGAAAUCUCCUAACUAAAAGAAUUUAAGCUAGGAACCCCGAAACCAAACGAGCUACCUAAAAACAAUUUUAAGAAUCAACCCGUCUAUGUAGCAAAAUAGUGGGAAGAUUUUUAGGUAGAGGUGAAAAGCCUAACGAGCUUGGUGAUAGCUGGUAACCCAAAAAAUGAAUUUAAGUUCAACUUUAAAUUUACUCAAAGAACCUAAAAAUCUUAAUGUAAAUUUAAAUUAUAGCCAAAAGAGGGACAGCUCUUUAGGAACGGAAAAACCUUAAAUAGUGAAUAAACAAUAUCAUCAUUUAACCAUUGUAGGCCUAAAAGCAGCCACCAACAAAGAAAGCGUUCAAGCUCAACAUAAAUAUACCAACAAUCCCAUAAUUUAAAUAAAUUCCUAAAUUACAAAUUGGGUUAUUCUAUAUAUCUAUAGAAGAAAUACUGUUAAUAUGAGUAACAAGAACUUAUUCUCCAAGCACAAGUGUAUAACAACCCGGAUAACCAUUGUUAGUUAUCAACUAAUAGAGUAUAACCAUAAAUAAACUCAUCUAAAAUUAAUUUGUUAGCCCAACACAGGAGUGCUCUAAGGAAAGAUUAAAUAAAAUAAAAGGAACUCGGCAAACUAGAACCCCGCCUGUUUACCAAAAACAUCACCUCUAGCAUAACAAGUAUUAGAGGCAUUGCCUGCCCAGUGACUAAAGUUAAACGGCCGCGGUAUCCUGACCGUGCAAAGGUAGCAUAAUCACUUGUUCCUUAAUUAGGGACUAGCAUGAAUGGCUAAACGAGGGUUCAACUGUCUCUUAUUUUCAAUCAGUGAAAUUGACCUCCCAGUGAAGAGGCUGGGAUAACAUAAUAAGACGAGAAGACCCUAUGGAGCUUAAAUUAACAAGCUUAAUUAUUAACAUAACCCUCCUAAUGGAACAAAAACAACAUCAUAAGCUUAAAAUUUUGGUUGGGGUGACCUCGGAGAACAAAAAAUCCUCCGAAAGAUUAUAACAAAGACUAACAAGUCGAAGUAAAUAAUAUAUUUAUCCAAUUGACCCAAAACAAUUUGAUCAACGGACCAAGUUACCCUAGGGAUAACAGCGCAAUCCUAUUUAAGAGUUCAUAUCGACAAUAGGGUUUACGACCUCGAUGUUGGAUCAGGACAUCCCAAUGGUGCAGAAGCUAUUAAUGGUUCGUUUGUUCAACGAUUAAAGUCCUACGUGAUCUGAGUUCAGACCGGAGAAAUCCAGGUCGGUUUCUAUCUAUUUACAAUUUCUCCCAGUACGAAAGGAUAAGAGAAAUAGAGCCACCUUUACAAAAGUGCUCUUAACCUAAUUUAUGGAUAAAACUAAAUAAAGUAUCUAUGUAACAAAUCAUAUUUACCUAGACCAGGUC
rnacentral:rRNA from 1 species